rnacentral:rRNA from 1 species
AGAGUUUGAUCCUGGCUCAGGAUGAACGCUAGCGACAGGCUUAACACAUGCAAGUCGAGGGGCAGCAUAAAAGUAGCAAUACUUUGGUGGCGACCGGCGCACGGGUGAGUGACGCGUAUGCAACCUACCUAUCAGAGGGGGAUAACCCGGCGAAAGUCGGACUAAUACCGCAUAAAACAGGGGCACCGCAUGGUGAUAUUUGUUAAAAAUUUAUUGCUGAUAGAUGGGCAUGCGUUCCAUUAGGUAGUUGGAGAGGUAACGGCUCACCAAGCCUACGAUGGAUAGGGGAACUGAGAGGUUGGUCCCCCACACUGGUACUGAGACACGGACCAGACUCCUACGGGAGGCAGCAGUGAGGAAUAUUGGCCAAUGGGCGAGAGCCUGAACCAGCCAAGUCGCGUGAAGGAAGAAGGAUCUAUGGUUCGUAAACUUCUUUUGCAGGGGAAUAAAGUGCAGGACGUGUCCUGUUUUGUAUGUACCCUGAGAAUAAGGAUCGGCUAACUCCGUGCCAGCAGCCGCGGUAAUACGGAGGAUCCGAGCGUUAUCCGGAUUUAUUGGGUUUAAAGGGUGCGUAGGUGGUUUAAUAAGUCAGCGGUGAAAGUUUGCAGCUUAACUGUAAAAAUGCCGUUGAAACUGUUAGACUUGAGUGUAAAUGAGGUAGGCGGAAUGCGUGGUGUAGCGGUGAAAUGCUUAGAUAUCACGCAGAACUCCGAUUGCGAAGGCAGCUUACCAAGCUACAACUGACACUGAAGCACGAAAGCGUGGGGAUCAAACAGGAUUAGAUACCCUGGUAGUC